GCUCCUGUAAUCCAAUAGGCAGAGAUGGCAGAUUUAGAAUCUGUAAAGUAUGGGUUCGAAUCCCAUCAGGAGCA
rnacentral:tRNA from 1 species